rnacentral:rRNA from 1 species
AGCCUGAUGCAGCAACGCCGCGUGAGGGACGACGGCCUUCGGGUUGUAAACCUCUUUUAGCAGGGAAGAAGCGAAAGUGACGGUACCUGCAGAAAAAGCGCCGGCUAACUACGUGCCAGCAGCCGCGGUAAUACGUAGGGCGCAAGCGUUAUCCGGAAUUAUUGGGCGUAAAGAGCUCGUAGGCGGUUUGUCGCGUCUGCUGUGAAAUCCGGAGGCUCAACCUCCGGCCUGCAGUGGGUACGGGCAGACUAGAGUGCGGUAGGGGAGAUUGGAAUUCCUGGUGUAGCGGUGGAAUGCGCAGAUAUCAGGAGGAACACCGAUGGCGAAGGCAGAUCUCUGGGCCGUAACUGACGCUGAGGAGCGAAAGGGUGGGGAGCAAACAGGCUUAGAUACCCUGGUAGUCCACCCCGUAAACGUUGGGAACUAGUUGUGGGGUCCAUUCCAC